rnacentral:rRNA from 1 species
GACAGAGGUGCCGAGCGUUAGGCGGAAUCACUGGGCUUAAAGCGUGUGUAGGCGGAUCUGUAAGUACCUUGUGAAAUCCCACGGCUCAACCGUGGAACUGCUUGGUAUACUGCGGGUCUUGAGCCACCUAGGGGCAAGUGGAACUCCGGGAGUAGCGGUGAAAUGCGUAGAGACCCGGAGGAACACCAGUGGCGAAGGCGGCUUCCUGGUCUGCGACUGACGCUGUGGCGCGAAAGCUAGGGGAGCAAACGGG